CAGCUAUGGGUGUGACAGAAGAGUGAAUUAGGUGGUAGAUGAGUCAGUUAGUCAGAGUUUGCUGGCUGUGAUGCGAGGAGGAAGGAACAGGAGGUUAUGCAAGGGACAGAAAGGGCAAGGUGGCCGUGCUAGGGACAGGUAGGGGCAAGCAGGAAAUGCAGAAGGAAGGUAGAAGAAGUGAGAGAAAGAGCCAGGGCUGUGUGGAGCUACUCAUGGGACUGCAACAGAGAAAAGGACAACAACUGGUUCCAGCACUCUGUCUCUCAUAUUCUUCAAUCCUUCCUGUUUCUGCCUCUUCAUUUGGAAGUGUUGCGUUCCACCAAAGAUAUAUCACUGUAUUCCAGACACUCCUAAAGGCAGUAAGAGGAAUCCAGCAGCUGCAGCAGAAUUGGACCUUCCAGAACACAUGCCCCAUGCUUUUCUAGCGACUUUAAUACACUGAGGAGUGUCAGUCCAGCUUCAUCACUUCAGAGAAAGUUUGAAAUCAUCAGAUGAAGAGCAGAGAAGCAAAUGACAAUUGCAGCACAGCAUGAAAAAAUGUCAUUGACCAGCUAUGGGAUUUAAUACCAUUCGAAGCUGAAAUACCUGACUGCUACUUCCUUAAAAAUUCAAAAUUCAGAAGACUUUGGCACCGCUAGUCUCCUGCUUCUUUCUAAACUUGUACCAGUGUCCCAAGUCACCACAUUUUGGCUUCUUGAAAUCCCCCACAGUGCCUCACUUUAGUCUGCCUGACAGAUUGGGGCAGGGAUCUUGUGGAGAACAUCCCACAGCAGUGAAAAGAAAUAGCAUGCACGCCUUAUCCAGUAGCUCCAUGGCUAGGGCACGCGUCUGAAAUGCUGGAAAUCCCAGAUCAGCUUUCUAUUUAGGAACCAUUGCUUAUGAAAAUGACACCUGCUCUGAACUCUACCUGCUGCUUGUAGCUCCAAAGCAUUUCCAGUUUUCCUGUCUCAUCAGCUCUCCAAAUGUGGGUAGAAGAAUUUCUGGUUGCUUGUCUCUGAUCCCUCCAUGAGCCGUUCCCAGUAGUUUAAUGCUUUAUAAUCCAACAAGAGACAGUGGGUCUGUAGUGGAACCUCAUUUGAGCCUGGAUGCUACACGUACCUGUCACAUAAUGGUAACAGUAAGAGGCAGCAGGGAGGGAAGGCCAUCUUUUAAACCUAAUUUUCUGCACCUGGGGACAUGAGCGGCUCUGUGCUCCGCUGUACAGAUGGUAAAGUAAAAGAUUUUGUGAUACACUCCAAAGAUUCAAGAAACCCAUCAGAAAGAAGACAUUUAAUUCUCCAGUGUGGAUCAUGCUUUCAUUUACCUCGUAUGAGUUACAAUCUGAGCUUGGCCUCAAAUUGGCCUUGUUGCUGGAUAGGUGAAAAGGAUUUUUGUAUAAAAUACAAAUAUUUUCUAAUUUAUUAAGUGUCUAAAUUAAAAGUAAACAUAUUGCCAUUCUAGUAUUGCAGUUUGUAAAUAUCAAAGGGAUUACAAACUUUAUGUGGUGCAAGCAAAUUGGACCAAAGCAGCAGCUCUUAUAGUCACAGGAACUAGAUUAAACUCUGGAUUUUCACAUAC